UCAAUACUAUUAAAAGGGAAAGAGUUUUAAAAAAAAAUCUACCUAUAAAAAUUGUUUGGACCCUUUUAUUUAAUUCAUUAUUUUUUGGUCUUACCUUAAAUUUAUACUAACAAUAUGUUACCAUAUAUUUCUCUAACAAUAAUUUAGUCAAUUCUUUUAUUUAUUUAAAUCUCAUUCCUAAAUCCUAAUCAUUACUAUUACUAUAUUUAUCAUUUUGAUUUUUAACCGUAAAAGUAUUGAAACUAAUGUUUU
rnacentral:lncRNA from 1 species